AACCUGCGGAAGGAUCAUUAUCAAAAGUCAAGUCGGGGGCUGUAAAGCUCUCGUCUACACCCAUGUCUUUUGCGUACUCUUGUUUCCUCGGUGGCGCAAGCUGCCGAUUGGACAAACCAAAACCUUUUUUGUAAUUGCAAUCAGCGUCUGAAAAUAAUCUAAUUAUUUACAACUUUCAACAACGGAUCUCUUGGUUCUGGCAUCGAUGAAGAACGCAGCGAAAUGCGAUAAGUAGUGUGAAUUGCAGAAUUCAGUGAAUCAUCGAAUCUUUGAACGCACAUUGCGCCCCUUGGUAUUCCAUGGGGCAUGCCUGUUCGAGCGUCAUUUGUACCCUCAAGCUUUGCUUGGUGUUGGGCGUCUUGUCGUAUUACGACUCGCCUUAAAUUCAUUGGCAGCCGGCACUUUGGCCUAGGAGCGCAGCACAUUUUGCGAUCGUAGCCCGUUGCACUGGCGUCCAUCAAGAACAUUUACCACGUUUGACCUCGGAUCAGGUAGGGAU
rnacentral:rRNA from 1 species